rnacentral:rRNA from 1 species
GCAGGCAGAUCCAAUUUUCUGCCACCGAAUACAUUAGCAUGGGAUAAUGGAAUAGGACCCUGUCCUCCUAUUUUCAGUUGGUUUUGGCAGCGCGAGGACUAGGGUAAUGAUUAAUAGGGAUAGUUGGGGGCAUUAAUAUUUAAUUGUCAGAGGUGAAAUUCUUGGAUUUAUGAAAGAUUAACUUCUGCGAAAGCAUCUGCCAAGGAUGUUUUCAUUAAUCAAGAACGAAAGUUAGGGGAUCGAAGACGAUCAGAUACCGUCGUAGUCUUAACCAUAAACGAUGCCGACCAGCGAUUAGGAGACGUUGAAUACAAAACACCACCAUCGGUUGCGGUCGUCCUUGGCGUCUCGGUUUCGGCCGGGGCGCGGGGAUGGCCUUAGCCC